AGCUGCCAUAGGCAUAGCAUGCACUAGUGAGCUGAUGAUGGCAGAUGAAUGAAUGAGAGAAUUUGACGGUUUCGUGACAGCUACGGAGCUCAAAACUCAGGAACAAAAUACACAAUUUCGGCUGCAGAGAUUACACUAGAAUUCCAGCAUGGACAGCCCACCUCCCACGGUCCCCUGAGGAAGCUUCACACCCAGUCAGCCAACACCGUUUCAUGGUCAAGGCCGCGGCGGUGGAUUGAUCAGACUCUGGGACUGAGAGCCGUGCGAGAGAAGCGCUGCCGAGAUGCCCUCCAAGAAGAACAAGUACAACUUGGUGGAGGAUGCUUACGACACUCGCAUCCCACUGCACAGUGAGGAGGCAUUUCAACAUGGGAUUGGAUUCUCAGCCAAGUAUAUCGGCACGCUUGAUGUUCCACGCCCGAGCAGCAGAAUGGAGAUUGUCACCGCCAUGCGGAGAAUCCGGUAUGAAUUCAAAGCCAAGGCCAUCCGCAAGAAGAAAGUCGUCCUCACGAUCUCGGUGGAUGGCAUCAAAGUCACCCUCCGGAAGAAAAAGAAGAAAAAGAAAUCUUGGGAUUGGGAUGACGAGAAACUGCUGAUCAUGCAUCACCCUGUUUACAGGGUCUUCUAUGUCUCACACGACUCCCAGGACCUAAAAAUCUUCAGCUACAUUGCCCGCGACGGCCAGACGAAUAUCUUCAAGUGCAAUGUCUUCAAAUCACAUAAGAAGAGUCAAGCUAUGCGCAUUGUGCGCAGCAUUGGCCAAGCCUUCGAGGUGUGCCACAAGCUGAGCGUCCAGCACGCGUCCACAACAGGUGACGGACAGGCCGACGGAGAGAGCGACAAACAGGGUGAGGAACAGGCUACCGAACCCAGCCCCGCCCACAAUCGAGCGGUGGAUGGGGGCAACGAGGCCAAGCCCCGCCCACUCUCGUUAGAUGUCACUAAGGAAGCACCCAAGACGGAUGACCAGGGCGUCAAGAUGCCAGAACGGCCGGCCAGUGCUCAGCCUGAGAUGAUGAGCAAGCAUCCAUUCUUUGUGACGCACGCACAGCAGAGGUUCUCAGCCUUUGUCCCGCCGGUGGGCAUGGGCUACGACGAAGCCAGCAUGUCUCACAUGGCGUCGCUGUCGCUCUACCACCAGCGCCAACUCUUACAGCAGCAGCUGCAGCAGCAGGAAGCCCAGACGCAGGUCGCUCUGGCCCAGGUGCAGCUGCUGAAAGACCAGCUGUCGGCCGAGACCUCAGCCAGGAUGGAGUCGCAGGCACGAAUUCACCAACUCAUGGUCCACAACCGUGAGCUCCUGAUGCACCAACAAGAACUCGUCCUACACAUCCAGGAGCUGGAGAUGAAACUCAACGGUACCUCGCCCAGCCCCGGUAACCCAUUUGUCAACAUGCAGACACAAAAAUCCCAGCCCAGCGAGAUAACCACGCCCAGAUCAGGUGGGAUCCUCCUGCCGGAAUUCCCUUCCUUAGCGGACAGUCUGCCGUUUGAUCUGGUGGACCAGAACCCCGAGGAACCAGAGCCGGAGGACCUGUUUGACAACUACGAGGCCAUCAAAAAACAUCGGGAGGAGAUGAAACAGAUGAACAUAUCCCAGAGGCAACCUGGGGAUCGGAGUAGCGGCAGCACGUCAGACAGUAACAACGAUCUCUUCAGCCAAGGCCCGAUCCUCCCGGACGGCCACAACGUCGACGACUACGACGAUGACAACUUCAUGAAUGAGAGCCAAGAGGAGCUGGUCACAACCAGCUUGAAGAAGCUGAACAUUCUCUCAGACCCUCCGGAGGGGGACAGCUUCGGCCCGGCUGACCGGGACAUGUUUGACACGCCGACAAUCGAGCGGCCAAAAAAGAUGGGGAAGGAGCUAACAUCGACACCCAACGAUGGCAUCCGGGUGAUCGUGCCAGUACCCAUGCAGGACUCGACGGGGAACAGGCUGGAGCUUAACGUCUCUCCGGUAGCAGAGGCUCCAGGAGUUAAAUCCCCAAAACAACGUCGCCGGCAUCAUCACAGCAGCAAGCCACAUCAGCAGAAACAACAAGAACAGCAGCAGCAACAGUAUCCAAACUUGUUUGAGACAUCCAACAACAACAACAGCAGCGGAGUGACGGAUUCCUCGGGGACGUUAACCGAGCGGUCGCCUCUCAACCUCAACUUCAACCACAACUCCAGGGGCCAGAGUCUCUCUGAUUCCCGACUGACGGACGCCGGCAACCACUUCACCAAGCUCGCCCUGCAUUCCACAUCUCUCAACAUCCAAAGCCCUGGUGUGCUGUCUGACGGAAGCCUGAGCCCACACGGCAAUGAGCUGUCCAUUCCAGACACUAAACUCCACAUUAGUUUCUCUGACGAUGAAAACACAGAGAACUCAGAAGAUUCUGGCGUUCCCCGGCCGCCCAGGGCGCUGGAAUCCUUGAACUUUGAUGAGUUGGAAGUUUUGGAGACGUAGAAAAGCCCAGCAAUUGGCUCUACCAUUAUUCAUUGGAUUGUCAGAAACCACGUGGUGUAUUACACACUAUUGCUUCUGAAAACUGUGGCAGUAGUGUUUGUUAAUAAUAGGCCAACAGUUUCAGAUGGUACAAUGGCUAAUGGGUUAUAAGGGUCAAACUUGCAACAUCUGAAUCCUGGACCCAAUUUCACUAGUAGUUGUAGGAUUCUGAAUAACUUGUUUACAACCUGAUAACAUCAUUGGGGGAAGAUCCUGGAGAGUUGUUCAGAAUCCUGCAACUCCUCAUACCACUGACCAGAAUAAUGUGCACAUAUAUGGUCACCAGUUUGUGACUAAAGUUUGUAAUUAAAUUUAAAGUGUAGCACUGAAUCCUUGGUGUGUACCGAUGAGCACAUGCCAAUAUUCCCACCCAACUCAUGAUAUACAUUGAACCCUCACCGCUUUGUGCAGAAUCUUCUGCAACUAUUCUUUGCCCGGUUUACGGGAGUCAGAGCUAUGAAAUUGGGUCCUGUAAAUUGUAGGGCCGUUGUGGACUUUUUAAAGUUACUGUUGAAAAUGGCAUUAUAAACUACUCAGGCAUGCAUGUAACAACUCAAUUAAGAAUUCUACAGCUUAAAAAUUAUGACAUGAAAAGUAAAUACAAAAUCUAGGAGGAAGGUUGGGCAAGUACCAUGAGUCAACUGGUGGUUGAUUCUCAACGCAACUUACGUUUGCACACCAACAGCAAUGUGUGAACAACUCCUGUCAUACGCUGGUGAAAAUGUCAUCACGAAACUUUUGAAUCCUGGUUCCCUGCUGUGUAUUAUGAUACAUGCAGCCAUUGGCAACCAACGAUGCAACCAUGCACCGGGCUUCGGCUCCAACUAUUUGAGUAGUCCGACCAUUCUGUAUUGGAGUGAAGUUAGACAAACUGUGGUUAACCAAAGUCCUCACCCUAACUUGCUCUCGGAGUAAUUGCAGAAUACCCCGCCACUCGGAAAUACACCCCUAAAAUCUCUGGCUACGAGGUUGGAAUCACUGGAAAAAAUUCUAAGUCCAAACCAACCACCCUGUUGGCGGCUACGCGGAUACGGAGUGGGAGUGCAGUGGAGCAUGACGCAUAGUAUAUAAAGUAGUGCUGAGAAGGUUUACAGACAAGGGAACUAGACAAGCCAAUGUAAGAAGCUCCGAGCUGUCUGCACCUGCCUCUAUUAUAAGGUGAACCAUUUGAGUAAAUUGACACGGGCUGGCAAAGAAGGGUCCCUUGCCAUUGGAACAAAAGUUGUGCCCCACCGAUUUGUAUUAUGAAAAGUGGUCUGUAAGUCUGCUCCACAAAAUGCUUGGUUGGCGCUUGAAAAUUGCUAAGUAAUUGUACACUGUGUAUAUUAUGCUGUAUGUGGCAGGCAGCCAUCUUGAAUUGUGAAUGUUUCUUGUUCUGCAUGUUUGCAUGGAUAAGUCUUGUCUGCCUGUGGAUGACUGUUGAGCUGUGAUGGAUUUUGUCAUCAAUGGCUCUACUCUACAGAUCUUGGAUAUUUUUUUUUCCAUUUCCGUCUUCUCGAGGGGAAACCCUUGAUCUGGCUAGCUAGCUGCAUGUGUCAAGGUACAUGAACAAGUCAAUGACUUUUGACUGAGAAUAAGCAUACAUGUUAAAGGUCUAGCGGUAAAGAGAAGCAGUUUUCGAGAUGGUCAGUGUAAACAUGUUGUUUUAGACUUUGUUGAUACUGAGGUGAUUCUAGGCUAGAAUUUGAACUCUUUUUGAAAUUGCCUCCAAAACAUGUAAAUUACUGUGCAUGUAUGUAUAUAUUCUGUUAAAUUACUAGUAUUACGUGCUCUCGGUAGCUACGGUACAUGGACUCUCUGUAUGAAGAAUAGAUGGCACUUAAAUUUGCGACCGCUAUCAAGAGCCCAAUGGGAGCAGUGGGAGGGUGUGCAAAAGUAUGCGUGACAAAUUUUUUUCAACAUGUGCACAAUAGAGCUGUCUCGAAUAUACCGAAUAUUCAAAUAUUCUAUCGUCAACCGAAUGUUAGAAAAAAGUACGCACAUACACAUACACACAUCUCUGUAAACACCGGCAAAUCAUGGUUCCUGGACCCCCUAUUGUCCCUAAUCCUCAUUCCUUUUUUUGUACUUUUAACUUUUUAGCAACAGCUCUCAUUGGUUUUGUACAUGGACAAUCGGUCAUUCGUGGACGUAUUGUCUUAGGUCCACGAUUGCCGGUGUUUACAUUCUCGCACAUUCUUGUUUCGCAGUUGUGGGGACAAACACUCGUUGCUACGAGAUAUUUGUAGGGACCCAAAACGCUGUGGGGACAGCAGAAAGUCCCCAUUACUCGGUCCUAA
rnacentral:misc_RNA from 1 species